AUUGAACGCUGGCGGCAUGCUUUACACAUGCCAGUCGGACGGCAGCACAGAGAAGCUUGCUUCUUGGGUGGCGAGUGGCGAACGGGUGAGUAAUAUAUCGGAACGUACCGAGUAAUGGGGGAUAACUAAUCGAAAGAUUAGCUAAUACCGCAUAUUCUCUGAGGAGGAAAGCAGGGGACCUUCGGGCCUUGCGUUAUUCGAGCGGCCGAUAUCUGAUUAGCUAGUUGGUGGGGUAAAGGCCUACCAAGGCGACGAUCAGUAGCGGGUCUGAGAGGAUGAUCCGCCACACUGGGACUGAGACACGGCCCAGACUCCUACGGGAGGCAGCAGUGGGGAAUUUUGGACAAUGGGCGCAAGCCUGAUCCAGCCAUGCCGCGUGUCUGAAGAAGGCCUUCGGGUUGUAAAGGACUUUUGUCAGGGAAGAAAAGGCUGUUGCUAAUACCGACAGCUGAUGACGGUACCUGAAGAAUAAGCACCGGCUAACUACGUG
rnacentral:rRNA from 1 species